rnacentral:pre_miRNA from 1 species
UCCUGUGGAUGAGCAAAGAAAGUGGUUUCUUCAGAUGGAGUCUACUCCUGGUGAAGAUACUGUGCA